UGUGCCAGCAGCUGCGGUUAAACAAAGAAUACAAAUAAAUUUUAUAAAUAUAUGAGUUAAAUUGAAUUUAUUUAAUUAAUAAAAAAAAAUUAGGUGAAAUUUUAUUUUUUUAAAAAUUAAUAUAAAAAAUUAUAUUGAAGCUUCAAAAUUUUAUUUUUAAACUAGGAUUAGAUACCCUAUUAUUUAAUUAUUUAAAAAUAUAAAAGUUAGAGUAGUAAUAGUUAUGAUCUUGAAACUCAAAAAAUUUGGCGGUAUUUUAGUCUAUUCAGAGGAACCUGUAAUAUAAUCGAUAAUCCACGAUGGAUCUUUCUUAAUUUUGUAAUUUAAUUUGUAUAUCGCCGUUAUUUGAAAAUUUUAUGAGAAAAAUAAUUUUCUAAAAUUUUUAUUAAAAAAUAAAUCAGGUCAAGGUGCAGUUUAUAAUUAAGUUUUAUAUGGGUUACAAUAAAUUUAUUUAAACGGAUUAAAAAAUGAAAUAUUUUUAGGAAGGUGGAUUUGAUAGUAAAUUUUUAAAGAUAAAAAAAUUGAUUUUAGCUCUAAAAUAUGUACACAUCGCCCGUCGCUCUUGUUAAUAAUAUAAGAUAAGUCGUAACAUAG
rnacentral:rRNA from 1 species